CAGCAUCCCAUACUUCUCCGCAUGUCCCACCCCACAACCAGUCAACAUCAAAUAAAAGGCUAAAAGUGCUGAUGUUCGAUGCAAGGAUUUCUAAGAGGUCUGUUGACUGCAGUCCAUUUACCAAGGUGCUAAGGAAACUUCAUGAUGAAUAAGGCAGGCAAAUCUACAAGGGCGAGGUCUACUUUUUCCAAAGACAUGAGGCUAAUGAACAAGUAUGAGGACAUUCAUCUCCAGCAGGAACUGGACCUCAUUGACCGCAAGUGCCGGGCCAUUCUCACCACACUGAGCCAGGACAGAGAUUCACUGGUCAAAGAUCACAAAAAAAUACUUCACCUGAAAGUCUGUGAACCACGAGCUACAGUUGACAACACUAUGCGAGAAAUAAUGGAAUCUAAAGAAGCUAACUUUGACCUGCUUUGCCUCACGUCCCCUCCGCAGACAUCACAAAACAGACUGCGCUCCUCCAAAUCUCUGCUGUACCAGAGGGACACAACAACGCUCAUCUCAAGGAGAUCAAAGUCAGCAUACGCUUUUGUAUCAAACACCAGAGGAGGCAACUGCUCUUCCUUGAUGACUCAACAGGAGGACAAUCGGAAAACCAUGUGUCUUUCUCCUUGCAGGCCGAAAUCGACAGCCAAUUUCUCCAAGCAGCUGACAAAAAAGAGAUCCCUGGAGUCAAAGAGUCAGGUUCUUUCGAUUAUGCAACUGAAACAAAUGGCUACAAUUGACAACAUCUCAGAAAAAGAGCUGGCUAGCAAACAAGAGCGCGUAAUACAGGAAAGGG